UAUGACCAGAGCGAGGGAAGAGAGGGCGUAAGAGUUAGAGACCGAUGACAGCUGCACAUUUGAUGAUUGGACAGAGAACCCAACAGAGAUAAAUAGUAGAGAAACAAAGUCAAGCUUUAUCCAGAGAAUUUUCUGAUUGGACACUAAAAACAUCGUGCUGGAGGAUGCUGGAGGAUGACCGAACGGCUGUAUCUUCUCAAUUACGCAGGAGGAGGAAGAGUGACACCCUUCAUAAUGAACUGUGCAGUGAUUCUUUUAUUGAUAUCAAGGUGCUUCACCUGGUCUUCAGCUUUAUAUACACCGGAGAGAGCAGCUUCCAAGAAACUAAAGUAUCUUCUUGAGC